rnacentral:hammerhead_ribozyme from 1 species
ACCCAGCUGACGAGGCCGAGAUAGGACGAAACGUGCGUUUUGGAU